CCCAAAGGAAAGUGAAACUUUUCAUCUGGAUGUGGCUAAAAUUUCAUUACCGCCCCAAACAUUUCCGUCAAACCCUAAAAUCUUGAAUUUUGUUUCCUUCUUCCUCUAUUCCUCCAAACCAUGGCUUCUCCAUUUUACAAAACUCACGUCUCCUCCAAAUUGCCGAAAAAUAUUAAUGAGUGAGUCUGAGUGUGCGAGGAUGGGAGAAAUUGCUCCGUGGGAUGACGGCGACGAACAAGAAAAUGGGCGUGAGUUUGGAAGGAAAGAAGAUGAUAUAUGUCCCUUAGAUGGAACGCUAUGUCCCCAAAUAUCAUAAAUAGAUGCAAAGUCCUUCCCUCCUUCAAGCUACUGCAUCUGAACCCCUUUCCAACAAGGGCAUGAAAGGCAACUCUCAUGGUCGCAUGAUCUCAACAAGGAGACUUUCCAAAAAGGGUAUUGGAGACUAAUAUACUUGUUUAUGAUAUUUGCAGCCACUAUUGGUGAAGGUUUGUGGAAACUUCACAUAUCAACAUCUCCAAAGAGGUGACUUUGGAGUUGCAAAUAACACAAGACAAUAGUGAGGAGAUGAUUGGCUUGAUGGGUACUUUGAUCAAACACACUUUAGUAACAUCAUGUUAUUUAUUAGUAGUACAGUAUUCUCUUUUGUGGGAGUUCCUUGUUCAUGAUGUGCAUUUUCAAGCAGUCUUACUAAUACAAGAUUGUGACAUUAUUCAUCUAACUAUUUUUUCAUUUCAAGUGUAAGAAUUUGAAAUUAAAAGUAAUACUAAAAUUGAUCUAAUUUUCAAUAAAUAUUCUAGACAUAUAGACUUACUGUUCUUGAACUAGAACUUAGAUCGACAAUUAUUGAACUAGAACAUAGUGAUAUGUUGAAUUUGGAAAACUACAUAUGUUGUUGUGAGAAUUGUUAAAUAGUUUGAGAUGUGAUAAAUUUGUCAUGUGCAAAGUUGUAGGUGGUGAGAGUUGAACCUUUCCAUUUUCAAAAUAUAUUUUAAACUUUGAAUAUGUAGCAUCUCGUUGUUUUAUUCAUUUUCUCACUGUACCUAUUUGCUCCACAAUAAGGACAUUGGAAUAAUGGAGGACCAAUAUCAAAAUAUCCUACCAUAGUUGAAAUUAUUAAGUUUCCUACAAAUAUGUUAUUAGGAUUGUAAUCACCAUUUAAGUAUUUCAUCCAAUCAAUAUAAAAAUCUUCAAUGUGCAUGUCAAACUUAGAUACUUCCAUAUUUGUUAUAUUUGACUCAUUUUAGUUAAAUCAAAUUGAUUAGCCAGCUAGCUAGCUAGCUACAAUGAUGAAGUUGUUUUCAAUGUUCAUGACAAGGUUGUUGAACUUGAUACUUUAUUACGGGAUCUUUCGCAAAACGGUCGGUAUUGCAGGAUUUUGGUUCUCGCCAUGGACCGUCAUCCAUCAUCGACAACAGUGUAAUUGACACAUAUUUUACAUUUUUUUAGAAAGGAUUAUAUUUAAUAUUACAUUACUUGAUAAUAUGUUAUUAUUGUUUAAUUUUUUUUUAUUUUGUUUAUAUAUUUAUUGGUUUGUAUCCUGUUUUCUUUAUAGAGUGGCAGAGCCACUAUAAUUGUCCUUAUUUGCACGUUAGUUUAUACAAGUCCAAUUGUUUUUCCUAUAUUUCAAUCUCAUGAAAUUAAAAAGUUGCUCUAAGUGGCAAGAUAAUGCAGUACAUGAGAAUAUUAAAAGCAGUCCCAACAGUAUGGUGCAUAGUUUACACAUGAUGAAUAAGGGACUUUUGAUUAAAGUGGUGCUGCUUUAUUCUCUCUUACUUGCCCAUGCAUUUCCAAGUUACAAAGAGUUUUCACAUUUAAUUCAACAACAUAGUAUAAUGCAUUAUUUGGAUUUGCCAUGAGAAGAGUAUUUCACAACAUAGCAUACAUAAUAGAUAUAUAGUCAAUAUUUGUUCAGGAAGAUGCUUUGACCAUCAAUCACAUGCCUUUGUUACUUAUUAAUCGACUAGUUAAAUUCUCUCUUAAUGCAUGGGUUUUUAUAGUGUAUAAAGUAUUAAAUUCUCUUUAUGAAGUUUAGCCACGACAGUUAUCAACCGACGCUAAAGUUUAGCUUCGAGACUUUUAUCCAAGGCCCCGACACUGACGCUAAACGGACGCUAAUUCUUUGUUUGUGUCGAUUUUUUGGCUUUUAGCGUCGGUUUUUGUCUGACGCUAAGCUCUACUUUUCUAGUAGUGACCCUAAAUCUCCCAACCCCAUUAUGUAAACCAUUAAUCCCUCUCAGAUUAUCCAAACACAAAAAUUUUCGAACAAACAUAAUGCUCAAGCAAAUAUUCAAAAUAAGUCAUGCAUCAAGAACAAAUAAAAAGGAUGACCAACCUUCAGAGAGGAGGUCUUCUCCGGUAAAAAGGUAAAAGCCUCGUCACUUUUCUGAAUCCCUCUCCUUGAUCAGUGUCUCCCUCUCCUUCUAACUCUUUGUUUCUCUUUUCUGUUUGUGUGAGGUCUGUUAGGGUGGAGGCUAAGCUCAUAUGCAUAUGGUUUCAAGAGCUUUGGUGUGUUUGGUUCGGAAUAGCAGCAGCAAUAGGCUAGGGUUUUCUUCAAUUUUUGUCCCAUUUUUUUAUUUUUUUUCUCUACUUAUUUAUAGAUUAAUUUUUAGGGUUUUGAUCAUAAUUAGCCUGAUUGUUUUAGGAAAGUUGUAAUAUGAUUGAUUAUUAAUUUUUUUAAGGUUUUUUUAUUUCUAAUGGCAACUGUUUGAUGUAAUGUAUCUGGUCCUAUUUCGUAUGUAAAUCCUGAUUUUUGAUGUAUCUGAAAAAUUGGAAAGAUUUUAUUGAUUUGAUAUUCA